GGGGGUAUAGCUCAGCUGGGAGAGCAGCAGACUGAAGCAACUACUUACGAUUCUGAAGGUCCCGCGUUCGAUCCGCGGUACCCCCA
rnacentral:tRNA from 1 species